GCAGGUUGAAGCGCGGGUAAGACCGCGUGGAGGACCGAACCCACCUGGGUUGAAAACCGGGGGGAUGACCUGGGGCUAGGGGUGAAAGGCCAAUCAAAUUCCGUGAUAGCUGGUUCUCUCCGAAAUGCAUUUAGGUGCAGCGUCGGUUGAUUGCAUCGCGGGGGUAGAGCUACUGGAUGCUUGCGGGCCCGUGUCGGGUACCAAUAGCAGCCAAACUCCGAAUACCGUGGAUGUGUAUUCCGGCAGUGAGUCGGCGGGGGAUAAGCUCCGUCGUCGAGAGGGAGACAGCCCAGAUCGUCGUCUAAGGUCCCGAAGCGUGUGCUAAGUGGGAAAGGAUGUGGAGUCGCAUAGACAGCCAGGAGGUUGGCUCAGAAGCAGCCAUCCUUGAAAGAGUGCGUAACAGCUCACUGGUCUAGUGGUUCCGCGCCGACAAUGUAGCGGGGCUCAAGCACACCACCGAAGACGCGGCAGUAUUUUGUACUGGGUAGGAGAGCGUCCCAUGAGGGGCGAAGCGGCCGUGUGAACGCGCCGUGGACUUCAUGGGAGUGAGAAUGCAGACAUGAGUAGCGAGAGACGGGUGAGGAUCCCGUCCGCUGGAUGACCAAGGGUUCCGGGGCCACGUUCGUCGUCCCCGGGUGAGUCGGGUCCUAAGGCGAGGCCGACAGGCGUAGUCGAAUGGAUGAACGGGUGGAUAUUCCCGUACCGGCGGCGUACCGUAAGAGCCGAACGGAUGAGUACUAACCUCCGGUCGCGUGGCGUCGUUCCCUUCGGGGUUCGGGGCGCGUGGCUGUUGGGAGCGUAGUCCUGGUAGGCUAGCGCACAGGGGUGACACGGAAUGGGAGCCGGCCGCGGAGGUGGUUUUCCGUGGUCAAGCACGCAGCCCGUCCCAUAGGCAAAUCCGUGGGACGCGUAGGGUGAGGUGUGAUGAUGGGCGUCUUUUAUGGCGCGAUAUCCGGUGGUCCAGGCCGUCGAGAAAAGCCUCGGCGCGAGGGGCGUCGCCGCCCGUACCCCAAACCGACACUGGUGGUCAGGUAGAGAAUACCAAGGCGAUCGAGCGAAUCCUGGUCAAGGAACUCGGCAAAUCACUCCCGUUCCUUCGGUUUAAGGGAGACCCCCGAUGGUGAACACACUUGCUGUGGGAGCUUUUGGGGGUGGCACAGACCAGGGGGUAGCGACUGUUUACCAAAAACACAGGUGCAUGCGAAGGCGCAAGCCGCUGUAUAUGCACUGACGCCUGCCCGGUGCCGGAAGGUUAAGAGGAUCCGUCAGCCCCUUUUGGGGUGAAGCGGUGAAUUCAAGCCCCGGUAAACGGCGGUGGUAACUAUAACCAUCCUAAGGUAGCGAAAUUCCUUGUCGGGUAAGUUCCGACCUGCACGAAUGGCGUAACGA
rnacentral:rRNA from 1 species